rnacentral:rRNA from 1 species
ACGGGUGAGUAACACGUGGGCAAUCUGCCCUUCGCUCUGGGACAAGCCCUGGAAACGGGGUCUAAUACCGGAUAUCACUUCCACUCGCAUGGGUGGGGGUUGAAAGCUCCGGCGGUGAAGGAUGAGCCCGCGGCCUAUCAGCUUGUUGGUGAGGUAACGGCUCACCAAGGCGACGACGGGUAGCCGGCCUGAGAGGGCGACCGGCCACACUGGGACUGAGACACGGCCCAGGCUCCUACGGGAGGUAGCAGUGGGGAAUAUUGCACAAUGGGCGAAAGCCUGAUGCAGCGACGCCGCGUGAGGGAUGACGGCCUUCGGGUUGUAAACCUCUUUCAGCAGGGAAGAAGCGAAAGUGACGGUACCUGCAGAAGAAGCGCCGGCUAACUACGUGCCAGCAGCCGCGGUAAUACGUAGGGCGCAAGCGUUGUCCGGAAUUAUUGGGCGUAAAGAGCUCGUAGGCGGUCUGUCGCGUCGGAUGUGAAAGCCCGGGGCUUAACCCCGGGUCUGCAUUCGAUACGGGCAGACUAGAGUGUGGUAGGGGAGAUCGGAAUUCCUGGUGUAGCGGUGAAAUGCGCAGA